AACGAAUUGCGAGUAUUCCAAAUCUGUUUAAAAAACGACCAAUGCGUCACUGGACGUUCGACAAAGCUGACCAAUACUUACCUUGUCGGCGUUACAUCCCCCCAAAUGCCACGCCGGCAUUUGAGGCAGCACUGGAUGUGCACCUCUGUUUUACUCCUAAUGGUCUUAACCCGGAUUCCCCAGAGUCCGG
rnacentral:sRNA from 1 species